AUGGCCCUGUCAGGUGCCCAGUCCCAGGUGCAGCUGCUGGAGUCGGGAGGGGAUGUGAGGAAGCCUGGAGACUGUCUGCGCCUCUCCUGCAAAGCCUCCGGGUUCACCUUCAGCAGCUCCUACAUGGACUGGGUCCGACAGGCUCCUGAGAAGGGGCUGGAGUGGGUCGCAAGUAUAAAUGCUGCUACUGCUAAGCUCACCACAUACUACAGUGCUGCGGUGAAGGGGCGAUUCACCAUCUCCAGAGACGACUCCAGCAGCACAUUGUACCUGCAGAUGACCAGCCUGAGAGCUGAGGACACGGCCCGCUAUCACUGUGUGAAGCCCACAGUGACCAGAAGCCUGCUGUGCCCAAUACAAAAACCUCUGUGCAAACCUCCUGCCAGCUCAAGCCAGCACAGAGCAGCAGCCAGGGCCUGA